rnacentral:rRNA from 1 species
UGGGGAAUAUUGGACAAUGGGCGCAAGCCUGAUCCAGCCAUGCCGCGUGGAUGAUGAAGGCCUUAGGGUUGUAAAGUCCUUUCGGCGGGGAAGAUAAUGACGGUACCCGCAGAAGAAGCCCCGGCUAACUUCGUGCCAGCAGCCGCGGUAAUACGAAGGGGGCUAGCGUUGCUCGGAAUCACUGGGCGUAAAGCGCACGUAGGCGGAUUUCUAAGUCGGUGGUGAAAUCCUGGAGCUCAACUCCAGAACUGCCUCCGAUACUGGGAGUCUUCGAGUCCGGGAGAGGUGAGUGGAACUGCGAGUGUAGAGGUGAAAUUCGUAGAUAUUCGCAAGAACACCAGUGGCGAAGGCGGCUCACUGGCCCGGUACUGACGCUGAGGUGCGAAAGCGUGGGGAGCAAACAGGAUUAGAUACCCAAGUAGUCCCUGAGCGGGCUGGCAAGGCGCAU